UGAGCUUGGAAACCAAUUUUUCCCUCGUUGAGCCUUGAGAUGACUAUAGUGCUAGCUGACAUCCUUGUUUUAGCUUCGUGAGAGUCGCUGAACCGGAAGGCACAACUAAGCUAGGACUGGAUUCCUGACCCACAGAAACUGUGGGAUGAUAAAUUUUGUUGGUUUAAGCUACUAACUUCUGGAGUAAUUUGGCAAACCCACUUUUAACUGUCAGGAGACAGAAGUUUUGGUGUCAAGAAGAUAAAGAAAUGUAACAAAUGUGAGGACCAAGUUUCUAAAAAGGCCUGUGCAGGAAGUCAGGUUGUCUUUCUGACUUAGAGUCAAAUGAUUUCACAAAUUUUGUGUUGCAAAUAAUGUAAGCAAG